UCUAUACCUGAAAGUUAGGUAAAGGUAAUUUCAUAAAAAAAAAUCUGAGACAAGUUCGUGCGUGGAUGAAUGAAUGAUAGGGAAUUUAACCUUACCGUAAUAACUAUUAGUAGUGAUACACAUCAGUAUACUCAUUAGUAUGCUAUUAGUUGUAGCAUCUUACAGAAUACAUAAUCAUUAUCACAGUGAUAAUAGGAAAUGUCAAAGUCUAUCUUUCUAGUUCUUUUUUCUUUUCAGGUUGUCUAUCUAUAUACAUGUAAUACCUGAUUAACUCAAAAUGAUACCUGAUGAAAUAAAGCAGUUGAUAAGUGAAAUGUUUUAUGUAGGAUAUCCUUACAGACUGAUACACUACAUCCUGGAAAAAGAAAAGAACUUUCAGAUUAGUUUCCAAUAUUUACAGCACAAAGUCAUCCCAAGGUUAGGUUUAAAGAGAAGAAACUGCAGAAUUAACAUUGAUACAGCAAUUACAUUGGCAGUGAAAGAAAUCAGGAAUGGUUGUAAUGGAUGUGAAAAUUUAC